rnacentral:rRNA from 1 species
CCCGCUGAACUUAAGCAUAUCAAUAAGCGGAGGACAAGAAACCAACAGGGAUUGCCUUAGUAACGGCGAGUGAAGCGGCAAAAGCUCAGAUUUGAAAUCUGUUGCCAUAGAGGCAUCCGAAUUGUAAUCUGUAGAGGAGUAUUCGAGUAUGGCUUUGGCUUAAGUUCCUUGUAACAGGGCGUCAUAGAGGGUGAGAACCCCGUUUACGGCCUUUGUCUUAUGCUUAUGUGAAUCUCUUUCGAUGAGUCGAGUUGUUUGGGAAUGCAGCUCUAAAUGGGUGGUAAACUCCAUCUAAAGCUAAAUACUGGCAAGAGACCGAUAGCGCACAAGUAGAGUGAUCGAAAGAUGAAAAGAACUCUGAACAGAGAGUUAAAUAGUACGUGAAAUUGUUGAAAGGGAAGCACUUACUACCAGACACACUUGUAGCUGAUCAGCCUCCAAUUUUGGUGGUGCACUCAGUUGUAAGUGGGUCAGCAUCAGUUACAGCGGUGGGAAAAAGACUUUGGGAAUGUGGCUUCCUUCUGGAAGUGUUAUAGCCCAUUGUGUAAUGCUACCUGUAGUGACUGAGGACCGCGCUUCGGCAAGGAUGCUGGCAUAAUGGUCGUAAGUGACCCGUCUUGAAACACGG